AAUAGAUACCCUGGUAGUCCACGCCGUAAACGAUGUCGACUUGGAGGUUGUUCCCUUGAGGAGUGGCUCCCGGAGCUAACGCGUUAAGUCGACCGCCUGGGGAGUACGGCCGCAAGGUUAAAACUCAAAUGAAUUGACGGGGGCCCGCACAAGCGGUGGAGCAUGUGGUUUAAUUCGAUGCAACGCGAAGAACCUUACCUACUCUUGACAUCCACGGAACUUAGCAGAGAUGCUUUGGUGCCUUCGGGAACCGUGAGACAGGUGCUGCAUGGCUGUCGUCAGCUCGUGUUGUGAAAUGUUGGGUUAAGUCCCGCAACGAGCGCAACCCUUAUCCUUUGUUGCCAGCGGUUAGGCCGGGAACUCAAAGGAGACUGCCAGUGAUAAACUGGAGGAAGGUGGGGAUGACGUCAAGUCAUCAUGGCCCUUACGAGUAGGGCUACACACGUGCUACAAUGGCGCAUACAAAGAGAAGCGACCUCGCGAGAGCAAGCGGACCUCAUAAAGUGCGUCGUAGUCCGGAUUGGAGUCUGC
rnacentral:rRNA from 1 species